rnacentral:rRNA from 1 species
UACGUAUGGUGCAAGCGUUAUCCGGAUUUACUGGGUGUAAAGGGAGCGUAGACGGUGAUGUAAGUCUGAAGUGAAAGCCCGGGGCUCAACCCCGGGACUGCUUUGGAAACUAUGUGACUAGAGUGUCGGAGAGGCAAGUGGAAUUCCCAGUGUAGCGGUGAAAUGCGUAGAUAUUGGGAGGAACACCAGUGGCGAAGGCGGCUUGCUGGACGAUAACUGACGUUGAGGCUCGAAAGCGUGGGGAGCAAACAGG